GGCUGCUGAGUCAGAAGCCUGGACGGGCUAGCUGCAGUCUUAAUGAACUGACUCAGGAAGGAAGUGCUUACAGAGAGAUGGUGUACCGUGCAGUCAGUGGGUGGGAGCAAAUGUCGGCUAGAAGACCUGAGCCUUGUGAAGGGGCGGCCUGAUUCCCGGGGAAGAGCAUUGGCUGGAAGUCUGGAGGCCCGGGCUAGUCUCUGCUCUGCCACUAACUUGCUGCAUGACUUUGAGCCAGAAAAAGAGGGAUCACUCACCCGUUCUCCGUCAGAUACUAAGCUGCUGACUGCCUCGAGGACAAACUUCUCUCCCUUGUCUUUCCAGGCUUGGCCAGAUAGGUAGAGAGAACAUGGACGAACAUUUACCGUGUCAGGCAUGGAGCAGAUUGCCUUAUAUAAUUUUCUCAUCUAAUUCUCAGGACCACCCUCUGAAGCAGGAACUAUUGUUACCUCUGCUUUAUAGACAAAGCGACCUAAGGGACCAAAAGCAUCCAGUUCAGCACCUGGCCCGCAGCAGACACUCAGUGAAUGUUGAUUUGAGCAAAUGAACUAAUAGAAAGAAAUGUCUCCUGUAAUUGCUUCUUACCAAUCUAGCCAACAACGGCUAGCAUUGUGGAUGGAGGCACCAGAGAACACAUCAUCUCUGGCUUUUUGCUGCAGAUCUACAUGGAGCAUCACACAUGGGGCAACACAGAUUUUCAAGGCCAGAUCUCGCAGAAAUGUCUGAAAGGAAACUUUAAAAAAUGAAUACGUACGGGUUUUUUGUUGUUGUUGUUGCAGCAUUGUCUAAUAUCAUAAGACUGGAAACAACCUAAAUGUUUGUCAAUAGGGAAUUAGUUAAAUAAGUUAUGGUAUAUCAUCAUACAGUGGAACACUAUGCAGUUGUAAAAAAAAAAAGAAAGAAAGAAAGAAAGAAAGAAUAAAGAAGCGU